rnacentral:rRNA from 1 species
GGCCCCUUCGGGGGUACUCGAGCGGCGAACGGGUGAGUAACACGUGAGCAACCUGCCCCUGACUCUGGGAUAAGCCUGGGAAACUGGGUCUAAUACCGGAUAUGACGCAUUCUCGCAUGGGAUGUGUGUGGAAAGUUUUUCGGUUGGGGAUGGGCUCGCGGCCUAUCAGCUUGUUGGUGGGGUGAUGGCCUACCAAGGCGACGACGGGUAACCGGCCUGAGAGGGCGACCGGUCACACUGGGACUGAGACACGGCCCAGACUCCUACGGGAGGCAGCAGUGGGGAAUAUUGCGCAAUGGGCGGAAGCCUGACGCAGCGACGCCGCGUGGGGGAUGACGGCCUUCGGGUUGUAAACCUCUUUCAGCAGGGACGAAGCUAACGUGACGGUACCUGCAGAAGAAGCGCCGGCUAACUACGUGCCAGCAGCCGCGGUAAUUCCUG